rnacentral:siRNA from 1 species
CUUAGAGAAUAUAAGAGUGUGCAA